CAGUCGCCGCGGUAAUACAGAGGGUGCAAGCGUUAAUCGGAAUUACUGGGCGUAAAGCGCGCGUAGGCGGCUUGGUAAGUUAGAGGUGAAAGCCUGGAGCUCAACUCCAGAAUUGCCUUUAAGACUGCCGAGCUAGCAGGUGAGAGAGGUAAGUGGAAUUCCGAGUGUAGAGGUGAAAUUCGUAGAUAUUCGGAAGAACACCAGUGGCGAAGGCGACUGACUGGACAAGUAUUGACGCUGAGGUGCGAAAGCGUGGGGAGCAAACAGGAUUAGAUACCCCUGUAGUCCCUGUCUCUUAUAC
rnacentral:rRNA from 1 species